AAUAAAUACAAAUAAAUUUUAUUAUUUAAAGUUAAAAUGAAGAUUUAGUUUAAAAUUAAAUUUAUUAGGUUAAAUUUUAAAUUUAAAAAAUAUCUAUAGAAAAAAUUUUUUUAAGCUUAAAAAUUUUAAAAAUAAACUAGGAUUAGAUACCCUAUUAUUUAAAAUGUAAAUAUAAAAAAUAGAGUAGUAAUAGUUAUAUUCUUAAAACUUAAUAAAUUUGGCGGUAUUUUAAUCUUUUCAGAGGAACUUGUUUUAUAAUUGAUAAUCCUCACUAUAUCUUACUUAAUUUUAUUUAAUUUGUAUACCAUCGUCAUAAGAAUCUCUUAAAAAAGAAAAAAUUUUCAAAAAUAUAAAUUAGUAAAAAUGUCAGAUCAAGGUGCAGUUUAUAGUUAAGAAAAAAUGAGUUACAAUAAAUUUAUUUAUACGAAUUUAAAUUUUAAAUAAUUUAAUGAAGGUGGAUUUGAUAGUAAAAUAAAAUAUAGAAUUUAUUUGAUUUUAGUUCUAAAAUAUGCACAUAUCGCCCGUCGCUCUCGUUAUUUAAAAUGAG
rnacentral:rRNA from 1 species